rnacentral:misc_RNA from 1 species
GCCGGAAGCAACUCUUUUGAACUGCUUUUCUGCCGUAUCUCUUAUUCUAGACCCGAUUGCUUCAACCUGAGGACGAGAAAAGGCUGUGACAAUUAUAAAAAACCGAGUCCAAUAGACCAGAGGCUUCACAAAGAGAACUCGGAUAUCAGCAGCCUUCACCUCGUUUGCAACUUUGGCUAAUGCAACAGCAAAGGACAAGCACUCGGCGUCGUCAUCGGCCUCCUCAGUCGGCGCCUUCCUAUCUCCGCUCCCGUACACCACCUUGCCGUACUUGCUGAAGAAGGAAUCGUCGAACAUCUCGUCCGUAUCCCCGCCCCUCGCAUCCUGCUCCGGCCGUCGCUGGGAGUGAACUCGGCGAGGGGGGCGGCGGGUGGGGGAGGAGAUGAAGAUGGA